GCGGCAUUAGCUCAAUUGGAUAGAGUACCUGACUUCGAAUCAGUUGGUUGCAGGUUCGAGUCCUGCAUGCCGCGCCA
rnacentral:tRNA from 1 species